rnacentral:ncRNA from 1 species
AAAAGUUUUAUUUUAGCUUAAAAAAUUAACUGUAAGGUUUUUGUGUAUGUAAAGUUUUAAUUUUAAAUAAUUGUAGAAGCAGUUCUUGGUUUUAAAAAUUGAGGUAAUUCUUGAUUUAGAAAUCUUUUCUUAUUUAAACAAAGGUUGUGCCAGCAGUUGCGGUUAAACAAUCUAGGUAAGUUAAUUUUUUUUAGUAAAAUUAGAAAGGGUUAUUAAUUUUAGUUUAUUGGAAAUUUAUUAGGUGAAAUUUUAAAUUUUUGUUGUUAUGAUAGAUGUUUUGAGGUUUAAAAAUUUUUUUGUAAACUAGGAUUAGAUACCCUAUUAUUUUGAAUGUAAUAUUGAUGUUAAAAUUAGUAUAAGUUAUUUUCUGGAAAAUUAAAGAAUUUGGCGGUAUUUUAGUCUAUUCAGAGGAACCUGUCCUGUAAAUGAUAGUCCACGAUUAAUUAAACUUUGUUUAUAAGUUUGUAUAUCUUCGUAUUAAGAGUAUUUUUUUAGAAAUUGAAUAUUCAUUAGUUUAAGUUAGAUGAUAAUUCAGAUCAAGGUGUAGUUUAUAAUAAAGAAGAGGUGGGUUACAUUAAGUUAAUUUUUGGUUUUUUUUUGAAAAUAAAAAUUAAAUUGGAUUUGAUAGUAAUUUCUUAUAUUUUUAAGUUUUGACUAGGGCUCUAAAAUAUACACAUAUUGCCCGUCGCUUCCGUUGAUUUGGAAUAAGUCGUAACAAAGUAGAUUUAUUGGAAAGUGAAUCUGGAUUAGUC